rnacentral:rRNA from 1 species
GAAAGGAAUUAAUUAAUAAAUUUAUAAAUAAUAAAAUUAAUUUUAAUUUUUAUAAUUUUUAAUGGGGGUUAAAGUAUUAUAUAAAGAAAAAAUUAAUAAUUUUAUAGUUAAUUAGUAUUGUAAAAUAAAUUUUAAAUAUUUGAAAAUAAAUUUAAUAAAAAGUAAAUUUAAUUUAUUGUAUCUUGUGUAUCAGAGUUUAUUAAAAAUUUUUAAUUAAUUUUAAUUUCUCGAAUUUAAAAGAUUUAAAUAAUUAUGAAAGUUAUUAUGGUAAAAAUAUUUUUAAUAAUUAUUUUGAAAUGAGAUGUUAUUCGUUUUUAAAUAUAUCUAGUUUUUUUAGAAAAAAAUUUAAUUUUUAAUUUAUUUUAUUUAUAAAUUUAAUUAAUAAAUUUUAUAAAAUUUAAAUUUUAUAAUUUAAGGGAUAAGCUUUAAAUUAAAAUAUUAUAAUAUAAAAAUUUAAAUUGAAAAUUUUAUAAUUUAUAUUGUUAAUAAAUUUUAUUUUAUUAUAAAUAAUUUCAUUAAAUAUAAAAUUUAAUUAAAAAAUUUAAUUUUAUAUAAAAAAAUUAUUUUUAAUUAAAUAAAAUUAGUUAUAAUGAUAAAAUUAGUAUAUUUUAAUUAUAUAAUUUUAAUAUUAAUUUAAUUAAAAAUUAAUUAAAAUUAAUUCGGCAAAUAUUUAUAUUCACUUGUUUAACAAAAACAUGUCUUUUAGAAUUUAAUUUAAAGUCUAAUCUGCCCACUGAUAUUUUAAUUAAAGGGCUGCAGUAUUUUGACUGUACAAAGGUAGCAUAAUCAUUAGUCUCUUAAAUGGUGACUUGUAUGAAAGAUUGGAUGAAAUAUAUACUGUCUCUUAAUUAAUUUAUAGAAUUUAAUUUUUUAUUUAAAAAGUUAAAAUAAAUUAAAAAGACGAGAAGACCCUAUAGAGUUUUAUAUUUUAAUUUUUAUUUUUAUUAUUUAUAAAAUUUUAAUUUUUAAAUAUUUAAAUAUUUUGUUGGGGUGAUAAAAAAAUAUAAAUAACUUUUUUUUUUAAUUAUACAUAAAUAAGUGAGAAAAUGAUCCAAUUUUAUUGAUUAUAAGAAAAAAUUACCUUAGGGAUAACAGCGUAAUUUUUUUUUUUAGUUCAUAUAAGAAAAAAAGUUUGCGACCUCGAUGUUGGAUUAAGAUAAAAUUUAAAUGCAAAAGUUUAAAAUUUUUGAUCUGUUCGAUCAUUAAAAUCUUACAUGAUCUGAGUUCAAACCGGUGUAAGCCAGGUUGGUUUCUAUCUUUUAAAAUUUAAAAUAUUUUAGUACGAAAGGAUCAAAUAUUUUAAUUAAAUUAUUAUUAAAUGAAUUUUAUUAAUUAUAUAAAAAAAAAUUUUUUUUGUUAUUAAAUUAGCU